rnacentral:lncRNA from 1 species
GUUCCGGGGACCUACUGUGUUCUGUCCUUAGUGAGAUGUGUCGUUUGUGGGUGUUUUCGUUACCCACAGUAUUGCGAGCUGUGAGAGGGCAAGUGCUACAGGUGUGGGCAACCGGGCUGUGUGCUGGACGAGUGUCCGCAAGGUGACAGCCGGGGCCUAACACUGGCGACAGCCUAUUUCUCUCUGGGACGGCCUACAGGUGUGGCACCUGCGGCACGGUCGGAAGAGGGGGCAUUAGAGACAAUGUAACCUUAGGGUUCGCGGCAAGCGCCGGGUGGUCAUAGAUAUGCGACCCAGGUUGAGGACCCUGCUGCUGCCGACUUCGUUGCAGGUAUGGGUUAUUGAUGCAAGCAUGUGUUUCGCAUGACGUGAAGUCCAUGCAUUGCAUGCAAUGAUUAUGUGGUUAAUUACUAUUGUCGUGCAUGACCAUAGUAGAGACCGAGUGGACGGGUAAGUAUCGAUACCCGGGCAUGCUCGUGUU